rnacentral:sRNA from 1 species
ACGGGCACGGACGCCCGUGGUUCCAAACAGAAGCGAUGUUUACAAACAAAAACCAAAAAUAGCAAAGUUUUGUUUGUAAACUCCUAGAUAUAAUUUUGACACGGAUGUCAAAAUUAUAUCGUGC